rnacentral:lncRNA from 1 species
UCCAGAGUUUCUUCGUAUUCAUCUUGUCAUUCUUUCUCGAGGUUCUUCAUCAUCGUCUCUUGAUCUUCUCAAUCUCUCGCUGCAGGAAUCGAGGGGCUUGGAAUCUCGGACAAAGUCAUCAGUAACAUUGUCAGCGCCCGAGGAGAGCAGCACAGUUACCUCAGCGCUUGGACCAGCUCUAAACACCGACGGAAAGCCACGCGCAAAGCGUGGAUCUGCCACGGACCCGCAAAGCAUCUACGCUCGGGUAAAAUCUCUCAAUCCAGAAACAAAAAAAAAUCUUCUUACUCGUCUCAAGUCGUGUUCAUGCUCUUCAUUCCCUGUGUCUCUUUUGCUUUGUCUUCUAACGUUUUUACUCUUGGUUUUUCGCUGCCAGCAAAGAAGAGAAAGGAUCAACGAGCGUUUGAGAGCGCUACAAGGACUCGUACCAAACGGAGCGAAGGUGGGUCUCUUUGGCCAUUCCUUCACGUAAGCUUUUGGAGAUGGGAUAUUGAGCGAUUGACUUUGUGCUCCAGGUUGACAUUGUGACGAUGCUCGAGGAAGCCAUCAACUAUGUCAAGUUUUUGCAGCUGCAAGUAAAGGUCAUGCGUGCUCAAUAUGGAGAAACAA